GGAGGAGUUCCCGAGUGGUCAAAGGGGGCAGACUGUAAAUCUGUUGCCGUCCGGCUUCGAUGGUCCGAAUCCAUCCUCCUCCACCA
rnacentral:tRNA from 1 species